AUUGAACGCUGGCGGCAGGCCUAACACAUGCAAGUCGAGCGGAUGCACGGAGCUUGCUUCUGGAUUCAGCGGCGGACUGGUGAGUAAUGCCUAGGAAUAUGCCUAUUAGUUUUGUAUAAGGUCCGAAAACGGGGACUAUUACGCUAUACGCCCUUACGACGAACGGGUGGAAUCUUGGGACCUCCCGCUAUUGCAUGAGUCGAGGUCGGAUUAGCUAGUUGGUGGGGUAAAGGCCUACCAAGGCGACGAUCCGUAACUGGUCUGAGAGGAUGAUCAGCCACACUGGAACUGAGACACGGUCCAGACUCCUACGGGAGGCAGCAGUGGGGAAUAUUGGACAAUGGGCGCAAGCCUGAUCCAGCCAUGCCGCGUGUGUGAAGAAGGUCUUCGGAUUGUAAAGCACUUUAAGUUGGAAAGAAGAGCAGUAAGUUAAUACCUUGCUGUUUUGACGUUACCAAAAGAAUAAGCACCGGCUAACUUCGUG
rnacentral:rRNA from 1 species